rnacentral:rRNA from 1 species
GAUGAACGCUGGCGGCGUGCCUAACACAUGCAAGUCGAACGGAGUCCAGCCUUUAAGACCUUCGGGUCAAAGAGGGGAAGACUGAGUGGCGGACGGGUGAGUAACACGUGGGCAACCUGGCUCAUAGAGGGGGAUAACAGAGAGAAAUUUCUGCUAAUACCGCAUAAGCACAUACUGCCGCAUGGCAGAGGGUGAAAAGAGAAUCGCUAUGAGAUGGACCCGCGUCUGAUUAGCCAGUUGGCAGGGUAAGAGCCUACCAAAGCGACGAUCAGUAGCCGAUCUGAGAGGAUGAACGGCCACAUUGGGACUGAGACACGGCCCAAACUCCUACGGGAGGCAGCAGUGGGGGAUAUUGCACAAUGGGGGGAACCCUGAUGCAGCGACGCCGCGUGAGUGAAGAAGUAUUUCGGUAUGUAAAGCUCUAUCAGCAGGGAAGAUAAUGACAGUACCUGAAUAAGAAGCCCCGGCUAACUACGU